rnacentral:rRNA from 1 species
UACAGAGGGUGCGAGCGUUAAUCGGAAUUACUGGGCGUAAAGCGUGCGUAGACGGUUAUUUAAGUCGGGUGUGAAAGCCCCGGGCUCAACCUGGGAAUUGCAUUCGAGACUGAAUAGCUAGGGUACGGUAGAGGGAAGUGGAAUUUCCGGUGUAGCGGUGAAAUGCGUAGAUAUCAGGAGGAACACCGAUGGCGAAGGCAGGUCUCUGGGCUGACACUGACGCUCAUGCACGAAAGCGUGGGGAGCAAACAGG